rnacentral:rRNA from 1 species
GAUGAACGCUGGCGGCGUGCCUAAUACAUGCAAGUCGAGCGAACGGACGAGAAGCUUGCUUCUCUGAUGUUAGCGGCGGACGGGUGAGUAACACGUGGAUAACCUACCUAUAAGACUGGGAUAACUUCGGGAAACCGGAGCUAAUACCGGAUAAUAUUUUGAACCGCAUGGUUCAAAAGUAAAAGACGGUCUUGCUGUCACUUAUAGAUGGAUCCGCGCUGCAUUAGCUAGUUGGUAAGGUAACGGCUUACCAAGGCAACGAUGCAUAGCCGACCUGAGAGGGUGAUCGGCCACACUGGAACUGAGACACGGUCCAGACUCCUACGGGAGGCAGCAGAAGGGAAUCUUCCGCAAAGGGCGAAAGCCUGACGGAGCAACGCCGCGUGAGUGAUGAAGGUCUUCGGAUCGUAAAACUCUGUUAUUAGGGAAGAACAUAUGUGUAAGUAACUGUGCACAUCUUGACGGUACCUAAUCAGAAAGCCACGGCUAACUACGUG